rnacentral:rRNA from 1 species
UACGAAGGGGGCUAGCGUUGUUCGGAAUUACUGGGCGUAAAGCGCACGUAGGCGGAUAUUUAAGUCAGGGGUGAAAUCCCAGAGCUCAACUCUGGAACUGCCUUUGAUACUGGGUAUCUCGAGUCCGAGAGAGGUGAGUGGAAUUCCGAGUGUAGAGGUGAAAUUCGUAGAUAUUCGGAGGAACACCAGUGGCGAAGGCGGCUCACUGGCUCGGUACUGACGCUGAGGUGCGAAAGCGUGGGGAGCAAACGGG